UCCCUGGUGGCUUAGAUGGUACAGCAUCUGCUUCCAAUGCAGGAGACCCAGGUUCGACCCCUGGGUUGGGAA
rnacentral:tRNA from 1 species